rnacentral:rRNA from 1 species
UACGUAGGGGGCGAGCGUUGUCCGAAGUUACUGGGCGUAAAGCGCGCGUAGGCGGUUAUUUAAGUUCGGGGUGAAAGGUUCAACGCUCAACGUGAACAGUGCCUUGAAUACUGGGUGACUUGAGUUCGGGAGAGGGCAGUGGAAUUCCUGGUGUAGCGGUGAAAUGCGUAGAUAUCAGGAGGAACACCGAUGGCGAAGGCAGCUGCCUGGCCUAGAACUGACGCUGAGGUGCGAAAGCGUGGGGAGCGAACAGG